rnacentral:misc_RNA from 1 species
AACGCACGAGACCUGCGGACCUGCGGAGGGAUCAUUACCGAGUUUACAGCUCCCAAACCCAAUGUGAACGUUACCAAACUGUUGCCUCGGCGGGAUCUCUGCCCCGGGUGCGUCGCAGCCCCGGACCAAGGCGCCCGCCGGAGGACCAACCAAAACUCUUUUGUAUACCCCCUCGCGGGUUUUUAUAUCUGAGCCAUCUCGGCGCCUCUCGUAGGCGUUUCGAAAAUGAAUCAAAACUUU